rnacentral:rRNA from 1 species
UUGGAGGGCAAGUCUGGUGCCAGCAGCCGCGGUAAUUCCAGCUCCAAUAGCGUAUAUUAAAGUUGUUGCAGUUAAAAAGCUCGUAGUUGAAUUUCGGGGUUAGUAGGUUGGUCAUGCCUCUGGUAUGUACUGGUCUCACUGAUUCCUCCUUCCUGAUGAGCCGUAAUGCCAUUAAUUUGGUGUUGCGGGGAAUUUGGACUGUUACUUUGAAAAAAUUAGAGUGUUUAAAGCAAGCUAACGCUUGAAUACAUUAGCAUGGAAUAAUGAAAUAGGACGUUCGAUCCUAUUUUGUUGGUUUCUAGGAUUGACGUAAUGAUUAAUAGGGAUAGUUGGGGGCAUUAGUAUUCAAUUGUCAGAGGUGAAAUUCUUGGAUUUAUUGAAGACUAACUACUGCGAAAGCAUUUGCCAAGGAUGUUUUCAUUAAUCAAGAACGAAAGUUAGGGGAUCGAAGACGAUCGGAUACCGUCGUAGUCUUAACCAUAAACUAUGCCGACUAGGGAUCGGAUGAUGUUAAUUUUUUAAUGACUCAUUCGGCGCCUUACGGGAAAC